UACGUAGGGUGCGAGCGUUGUCCGGAAUUACUGGGCGUAAAGAGCUCGUAGGUGGUUUGUCGCGUUGUUCGUGAAAACCUGAGGCUUAACCUUGGGCGUGCGGGCGAUACGGGCAGACUGGAGUACUGCAGGGGAGACUGGAAUUCCUGGUGUAGCGGUGAAAUGCGUAGAUAUCUGGAGGAACACCGGUGGCGAAGGCGGCAUCCUGGACCGGCAUUGACGCUGAAUAGCGAAAGCCAGGGGAGCAAACGGG
rnacentral:rRNA from 1 species